AUUGAACGCUGGCGGCAGGCCUAACACAUGCAAGUCGAACGAGUGGCGGACGGGUGAGUAAUGUCUGGGAAACUGCCUGAUGGAGGGGGAUAAAUACUGGCAAAGGUAGCUAAUAACGCAUACCAUCAGAUGUGCCCAGAUGGGAUUAGCUAGUGGGUGGGGUAACGGCUCACCCAGGCGACGAUCCCUAGCUGGUCUGAGCGGAUGACCAGCCACACUGGAACUGAGACACAGUCCAGACUCCGACGGGAGGCAGCAGUGGGGAAUAUUGCACAAUGGGCGCAAGCCGGAUGCAGCCAUGCCGCGUGUAUGAAGAAGGCCGUCGGGUUGUAAAUUACUUUCAGCGGGGAGGCGUUACCCGCAGAAGAAGCACCGGCUAACUCCGUGCCAGCAGCCACGGUAAUUC
rnacentral:rRNA from 1 species